UUGCCUUAAACUAAUGAGUAAGGAAAACAAAGCGGCAGGUGAGAACCAGCCGCCGCAUCUCCAAUAAUGGUGCAUGAAUUUAUGGAGGGAUUAUAGGCUAGCCGGAGGGAUUAUAGGCUGGCCGAUGCGUAGACGCUGCCUCUUUUGCAGAACUUGCUCAGGCGGGCCUCUCA